AGCCUAUUAGCUCAAUUGGUAGAGCAAUGUUCUUUUGCAUAUGAUGUAGGUUCGAAUCCUACAUAGGCUA
rnacentral:tRNA from 1 species